AACGCAUAUUGCGCUCUCUGGUAUUCCGGAGAGCAUGCUUGUUUGAGUAUCAGUAAACACCUCAACUUCCAUAUCUUUUUUGAAAUGGGAGUUGGACUUGAGUGAUCCCAACGCUUUUCCUUACCGAAAAGUGGCGGGUUACUUGAAAUGCAGGUGCAGCUGGACUUUUCUCUGAGCUAUAAGCAUAUCUAUUUAGUCUGCCUAAAAAACAGAUUAUUACCUUUGCUGCAGCUAACAUAAAGGAGAUUAGUUCUUGUGCUGACUGAUGCAGGAUUCACAAAGACAGGCUUCGGCCGACUUUGUAAACUCGAUCUCAAAUCAAGUAAGACUACCCGCUGAACUUAA
rnacentral:misc_RNA from 2 species